UCCAUGGCCAGGGCAGCUUGUGUCCCCGGCUGCGACCAUGCGGAUCCUUUUCCUGGCCGUGCUGCGAGCGCACACCGGCAACGCCGUAACGGCCGCUCGGAUCCGGAAUCAUCUAGAAGCUGUAGGUCACACAUGUAUUCUGAAAGAUGCCCUUGACUUUGAAAGCUCCACUGCAGUAGCCAGCCUAAUUGGCAUUGAGAAGUUUGAGGCAGCCCUGGCCCUUCAUCUCUAUAGAGGAGGCAGACUUUUGCAAGGUCAAAGAAUACCUUUUGGAAUCAUCUUUGGAGGAACAGAUAUAAAUGAAGAUAUUGACCAUGAAGAAAAGAAGCAGAUAAUGGGGAUUGUUCUAGAAGAAGCCAGAUUUGCAGUGGCUUUUACAGAAUCAAUGAAGGAAAUGGCACUAAAUAAAUGGCCACAUGCCAAGGGUAAAAUCCACGUCCAAAGCCAAGGAAUUUCAACGAUGCCAAAUGUUACCUUUAACUGGAACACAUUUCUACAAAAUACAGAGAUCAACCGAAGUGCAGAUAAUUUACACAUCUUUAUUUUGAUAUGCGGGCUUAGACGAGUCAAAGAUCCUCUUUAUUUGGUAGACGCUUUCUCAGAAUGGCACCGAGAAGAGCCCAAUGUUUACAUGGUUAUUGUGGGACCUGAACAAGUCUUCUGUAAUAGAAUUCAGGUUGAUCCAGUGUUUACAAGAGAAGUGAAAGCCAGAGUGAAAAGGGCAUCUGGGGUACAAUUGAUGGGGGAGAUGUCUCGAGAAGAUCUUCAUGCCAUUGUGAAAAAUUGCUUCGCUGUCGUGAAUAGCUCCAUUUCCGAAGGAAUGUCAGCUGCAGUUCUGGAGGCAAUGGACCUGGAAGUUCCUGUGUUGGUAAGAAACAUUCCUGGCAAUGCAGCCAUUGUUAAGCAUGAAGAGACAGGAUUAUUGUUCUCACAUCCUCAGAGCUGUGAAACAGGAAGUCACUGCCUGCUGCUCCUACAUAUGGACCAGGGGAUUCUAUUGUCCUACAGGGAGCCAUCGACAUAACGUCUCUACUGUGGAAUAGAGUAAGACUGAGACCUGAGAGUGACCAAGGAACUUGACCAGCAUCACCCAGAUAGUACAGGUCUAGUACCACCCUAUAUACGACAUCCUUCCUGUUCUCCCCAAACCAGCUUGUGUAUCAGAAGAAUGGCUGAUGAGAGGCUCUUCCUCAGUGAAAAUACAGUAUAUUUUGCUGCCGGAUCACAUAGGGAGGCUUUGUGAGUUACAUUCUGGUAGUGCCUGAUGACACGUAAUGAAAAGCCUGAUUCUCCACUUCAGGACUUGUGUGCUCAGUUUUCCUGUCUGCUAAGUACAUGGCAAACAAAAGAAUUUUUUACUGGUUGCUGAGCUGGAACUUUUUCUGUUAGAGGCAACUGGGCCCUUUUUUCCUUCUCUGGCAUUCAGUGAGGCGGAUGAACCACUGUGAGCAUCCAGGUGGAGGAGGGGCAUUGGGCCCUUUCUCAGAGAAGCCAUGCACUUGUGGGCAUGCGGGGAAGGAGUGCCAGCAUGGGCAGUCUGCUCUUUCCACCCAGGUUUAUCUAAAUUCAUGAACACAUACCUCUGCUUUUGCUUCUUUGAAUCCUGCCUUAAGUGAAGCAAUAGUGGAGAUGGAGAGGAUUAGGCUACGCAUGAUCUUGUGAGCUUCUAAAGUCCACCAGAGGUCUGGAAGCAAGACUCCAGGCCAGAGUUUUCAGCCAUCUGAGCCUGGUCCACCAGGGCAUUCAGGAAGGCCUGGGACACAGCCUGGAACACAGCCUGGUAAUGGAUUGAUGCUACAGCCAUGAUGCUGGAUGCUAUAAGAGGGAGGGAAUCAUCCGUCCAUUAUGUUGCAUUCAGCAGUGAACUUGGUGGGGCAGGUACUUUGUAGCAACUUUUUAAAAACUUAGGUCUAUUCCUAAGGACUAAGAUUGUAAAGGGAAGAAUGUUAGGGGGAAAUGUUUAUACUCGUGUUCUUGAAAUAUCUUCUCAGUAAAUAUCCCUCUGGAAUUGCUCUUGGUAGUCAAUUGUGUCCAACUCUUCAUGAUCCCAUUUGGGGUUUUCUUGGCAGGGACACUG